rnacentral:rRNA from 1 species
ACAAGAUAUUUAAGAGUAGAUGGUGGAUGCCUUGGGUAGUAGAGGCGAUGAAGGACGUACUAGACUGCGAUAAGCUGCGUGGAGCUGUCAAGAAGCGUUGAGGCGCAGAUGUCCGAAUGGGGCAACCCAACUUACAGCAAUGUAAGUUACUCUAUUUAGAGAGCGAACCUAGCGAAGUGAAACAUCUCAGUAGCUAGAGGAAAAGAAAUCAACGAGAUUCCCUCAGUAGUGGCGAGCGAAAGGGGAAAAGGGCAAACCGGGUGCUUGCACUCGGGGUUGAGGACGACAACAUUCAAGGGGUUUGUUUAGCAGAGUUACCUGGAAAGGUAAGCCAUAGAAGGUGAUAGCCCUGUAUGCGAAAGAUACACCCUAGAUAGUCGUAUCCAGAGUAGGCCAGGACACGUGAAAUCCGGGCUGAAGCCGGGGAGACCACUCUCCAACCCUAAAUACUACUACUACACCGAUAGCGCACAAGUACCGUGAGGGAAAGGUGAAAAGAACCGUGGGUAACGGAGUGAAAUAGAACCUGAAACCAUCUACUUACAAUCAUUCAGAGCACCAUAGUGAAUCCCCCUGAGGAAUUGCGGAAAUACAAAGACGACAAGCCAUUUUUGAUAAGGAGUUUUUAUGGGAAUAGAACAUUCGGAUAAGGAUCCCAUUCCUGUUACGAAUAACGACCCCAAUGAUGGCGAUUAUGCUGAUCUCGUGCAUCUUUUUCGUGAAAUUUGGGGAGAUGAUUCUGAUUCUCAGUGCAAUCUGUAUGACUAUACAGACUUCGAUCUAUACGAUACGGGGUAUUUGCACGAUCACGAUUAGAUAUCAUAAAAUCUCAAAAAAGGACGGGGGAAAAUUUCAAUUCUUCAGUGGGAUUCACUGGUGUGAUGGACUGCCUUUUGCAUAAUGAUCCUGCGAGUUGUGGUGUCUGGCAAGGUUAAGUGAAAACGAGCCGUAGCGAAAGCGAGUCUGAAUAGGGCGCUUUAGUCAGACGCUGCAGACCCGAAGCCAAGUGAUCUAUCCAUGGCCAAGUUGAAACGAGUGUAACAGCUUGUGGAGGACUGAACCCGUGCCCAUUGAAACGGGCUGGGAUGAGCUGUGGAUAGGGGUGAAAGGCCAAACAAACUUGGUGAUAGCUGGUUCUCUUCGAAAUAUAUUUAGGUAUAGCCUCAAGUCAUAACAAGAGGGGGUAGAGCUCUGAUUGGGCUAGGGCUGCUCGCCGCAGUACCAAACCCUGUCAAACUGCGAAUACCUUUUGUUGUAUCUUGGGAGUCAGGCGGUGGGUGAUAAAAUCAAUCGUCAAGAGGGAAACAACCCAGACUACCAACUAAGGUCCCCAAGUUCUAUUCUGAGUGGAAAAAGAUGUGUGGUUACUCAAACAACCAGGAGGUUGGCUUAGAAGCAGCCAUCCUUUAAAGAAAGCGUAACAGCUCACUGGUCUAGUGAUCAUGCGCUGAAAAUAUAACGGGGCUAAGAUAGACACCGAAGUUGUAGAUUGCUCUUUUAGAGCAGUGGUAGAAGAGCGUUCUGUGCAGCGUUGAAGGCAUACCGGUAAGGAGUGUUGGAGCGCACAGAAGUGAGCAUGCAGGAAUGAGUAGCGAUAAGAUACGUAAGAAUCGUAUCCGCCGUAAAUCUAAGGUUUCCUACGCGAUGUUCGUCAUCGUAGGGUUAGUCGGGUCCUAAGCCAAGUCCGAAAGGGGUAGGCGAUGGGAAAUAGGUUAAUAUUCCUAUACCAAUUAGGGUGUGCGAUGGGAGGACGCAUAAAGUUAGGUGAGCUAGCUGAUGGAAGUGCUAGUCGAAGGGUGUAGAUUGGGAGAGAGGCAAAUCCGCUCCUGUAUUUGAAACCUGACAGGCUCUCUAAGACCUUCGGGUCAAGGAGAGAAUCACUGAUACUAUCGUGCCAAGAAAAGUCUCUAAGUUUAGCCCUAAUUGUCCGUACCGCAAACCGACACAGGUAGAUGAGAUGAGUAUUCUAAGGCGCGUGGAAGAACUCUCUUUAAGGAACUCUGCAAACUAGCACCGUAAGUUCGCGAUAAGGUGUGCCUACGCAAGUAGGUCUCAGCAAAGAGUCCCUCCCGACUGUUUACCAAAAACACAGCACUUUGCCAACUCGUAAGAGGAAGUAUAAGGUGUGACGCCUGCCCGGUGCUCGAAGGUUAAGAGGAUGGGUUAGUCGCAAGACGAAGCUUUGAAUUGAAGCCCGAGUAAACGGCGGCCGUAACUAUAACGGUCCUAAGGUAGCGAAAUUCCUUGUCGGUUAAAUACCGACCUGCAUGAAUGGCGUAACGAGAUGGGAGCUGUCUCAAAGAGAGAUCCAGUGAAAUUGUAGUGGAGGUGAAAAUUCCUCCUACCCGCAGCAAGACGGAAAGACCCCGUGGACCUUUACUACAGCUUAGCACUGCUAAUGGGAAUGCCAUGCGCAGGAUAGGUGGGAGGCUGUGAAGCAAGAGCUUUGGCUCUUGUGGAGCCAUCCUUGAGAUACCACCCUUGGCGUUUUUGUUAGCUAACUGGCUAGAGUUAUCCUCUAGCAGGACAAUGCUUGGUGGGUAGUUUGACUGGGGCGGUCGCCUCCUAAAAAGUAACGGAGGCUUACAAAGGUUAGCUCAUGGCGGUUGGAAAUCGCCAGUUGAGUGUAAUGGCACAAGCUAGCUUAACUGCAAGAGAGACAACUCAAGCAGAGACGAAAGUCGGUCAUAGUGAUCCGGUGGUUCUCGUGUGGGAGAGCCAUCGCUCAAAGGAUAAAAGGUACCCCGGGGAUAACAGGCUGAUCUCCCCCAAGAGCUCACAUCGACGGGGAGGUUUGGCACCUCGAUGUCGGCUCAUCGCAUCCUGGGGCUGGAGCAGGUCCCAAGGGUAUGGCUGUUCGCCAUUUAAAGCGGUACGCGAGCUGGGUUCAGAACGUCGUGAGACAGUUCGGUCCCUAUCUGCUGUGGGCGUAGGAAAGCUGAGGAGAGCUGUCCCUAGUACGAGAGGACCGGGAUGGACAUGCCACUGGUGCACCAGUUGUUCUGCCAAGAGCACCGCUGGGUAGCUACGCAUGGUUGUGAUAAGAGCUGAAAGCAUCUAAGCUCGAAGCCAACUCCAAGAUGAGCUUUCCCUGAAGCUCGCAUGAAGACUACAUGUUUGAUAGGGUGGGUGUGUAAGUGCAGUAAUGCGCUCAGCUAACCACUACUAAUAGAGCGUUUGGCUUGUUUGG